rnacentral:misc_RNA from 1 species
UACAGAGGGUGCGAGCGUUAAUCGGAAUUACUGGGCGUAAAGGGUGCGUAGGUUGUUAGAUAAGUUAGGUGUGAAAGUCCUGAGCUCAACUUGGGAUUGCGCCUAAUACUGUAUAACUAGAGUCCUGUAGAGGGGAGUGGAAUUUCCGGUGUAGCAGUGAAAUGCGUAGAGAUCGGAAGGAACAUCAGUGGCGAAGGCGACUUUCUGGACAGAGACUGACGCUGAGGUACGAAAGCAUGGGGAGCAAACAGG